GAGCGGCAGCGCGGGAGCAAUCCUGGCGGCGAGCGGCGGACGGGUGAGCAAUGCUUGGGAAUCUGCCUAUCAGUGGGGGACAACCCGGGGAAACUCGGGCUACUACCGCAUACGUUCUUCGGAAGAAAGCAGGGGAUCGCAAGACCUUGCGCUGAUAGAUGAGCCCAAGCCGGAUUAGCUAGUUGGUGAGGUAAUGGCUCACCAAGGCGACGAUCCGUAGCUGGUCUGAGAGGACGACCAGCCACACCGGAACUGAGACACGGCCCAGACUCCUACGGGAGGCAGCAGUGGGGAAUAUUGGACAAUGGGGGCAACCCUGAUCCAGCCAUGCCGCGUGAGUGAUGAAGGCCUUCGGGUUGUAAAGCUCUUUUGGCGGGGACGAUGAUGACGGUACCCGCAGAAUAAGCCCCGGCUAACUUCGUG
rnacentral:rRNA from 1 species